rnacentral:rRNA from 1 species
AUUGAACGCUGGCGGCAGGCCUAACACAUGCAAGUCGAACGAGUGGCGGACGGGUGAGUAAUGUCUGGGAAACUGCCAGAGGGAGGGGGAUAACUACUGGAAACGGUAGCUAAUACCGCAUACCAUCAGAUGUGCCCAGAUGGGAUUAGCUAGUUGGUGGGGUAACGGCUACCCAAGGCGACGAGCCCUAGCUGGGCUGAGCGGAUGACCAGCCACACUGGAACCGAGACACGGUCCAGACGCCGACGGGAGGCAGCAGUGGGGAAUAUUGCACAGGGGGCGCAAGCCUGAUGCAGCCAUGCCGCGUGUAUGAAGAAGGCCUUCGGGUUGUAAAGUACUUUCAGCGGGGAUGCGUUACCCGCAGAAGAAGCACCGGCUAACUCCGUGCCAGCAGCCGCGGUAAUAC